CUCUCUUUAUCCCUUUGGUUGAGCAUAGGGCUAAGCUCAUGACAGUCAUCUUUUAGUCAUGAGGGACUAGAUGUAGUAUAAAGUUAACAGGCUAAACAGCAGAGUCCUAACAUUGGGGAAAGUAUCUUUUUUAAUACUGCUGAGUCACUGAACCAACCCUCUUUUGAAGCCUGCCUUAACACUGGAAUUUUCAGGGCAGUUCUGCCCCAACCAGACUUUGUGAUGCAGAAUUGGAAGAAUGAAGAAACAGAGGUGGAAGCAAAAGACCUUGCAGCUGUGGUUUUGGGAGUCGUACAAUAGAAACCUCAUUUCCCUGGCUAUUUUGCACCCUCAGACUUACAAUUAAUGAGGAACCAGAGGGAGAUUAAAGGAUAGGAGGAAGACAGAGAUCCAGCGUAUUUCAACCCCUCACUGUCUGCUUCUUGUGGGUGUCUGGAAGUGACUAUGUCUCCAUCGAGGCUCCACCUCCCACUGUGCAACUUCUCUGUCCAUGUUCCAGCAUCUGCUGGACAGUCCCCACUAAGAAGCUGGGUAGCCCCCACUUUCAUCCUUCCUCUGGUUGUCUGUUAAGUGAAAUAAGCCAAACUAGGAAAGAGAAAUACCACAUGUUCUCAUGCAUAACUGGGAAGGAAGGAAGGAAGGAGAAAGAAAGAAAAGAAAGAAAAGGAAGGAAGAAAGGAAGGAAGGAAGGAAGGAAGGGAGAGAUCACAACAAUUCACUGAACUUUCAGGAGAAGAGAACAAACCUAAGAUAUAUAUGAGUAUUACUUGCUUCGGAUGAAGAUCCUGAAAUGAUUUACAGCAAAGGGAUUGCCCACUCACGGGAUUUCUAUACUUGGCUUCCUUCUCUGUAUCAAGCACGUGCCAGUUCUAGAUCCCAUGAAUCCUCCAAGGGAAGGAAAGACAGAGGCCACCCCGCCCUACCAAACCUUCCACACACUAGUGUCCUUUCUACAGCUUCGA